ensembl:lncRNA
GUCGAGGCUCAUGUAACAAUAAUAGGCCUUAGUUUUAGGGCUCAUUUUACCAAAUCACUUACCUAAAGCAACAGGAAUAAGUUUGUUUGGUUGUCAUCCUAAUGUUUGCUUCGACAUCCACAGGUCUGCCAAUGUGCUGUUUCUGGAAGCCUCAGAUCCAGGCUGGAGCUGGAGAAAUUCUGACUCUCUGCAAGCUGAGCUGGCCAGUCGCCUGAGCCCUGGACACACGGUCACCAUUCUACCUAAACAUCAACCCGUGUGGGGUACAGAUUGCAGCCUGGCUCCCCUGACGGUGCUGUGGGGAUCAGAAGUCACUCACGAAGGAGGCAGGAAAGCUCCAGGCCUUAGAGC